GGUCCGUGGUUCUACCCUUUGAUGUGGCAAAGACUGUUAUUCAGACUGCACCCGAUUCAACUUCUAGUAGAAAUCCAUUUCGCAUACUGAGCUCGAUAUACAGGAUGAAGGGAAUUAAAGGAUGCUACACUGGCAUUGGUCCCACGUUAGCAAGAGCAUUUCCUGCAAAUGCUGCUGCAUUGUUGCAUGGGAGCUCACUGCCAAACUUUUAGGGAUUAGGCUCGAUUGAAGGCUUAUUUGAUGAUAGUGACUUCCAUUAUGCUCCUGUCCUCAUCCUAAGAGCAAACAUGCACUUCUCCAAUGGAAAAUCAUUCAAGUGGCAUGGCAAUUUUGUUUUAAUGAGUUUUGUUCUUGUUUGAUGCAAUAUUUAUGUACUGUAUUGAACUACCAUGAAUUUGUUCAUGUUUUAUUAGAUUUAAUUCAUAAAUCAUAAUUGCUAGUGAGGAUGAUUUGAUUUUAAAGAUGUCAUCAUAUGGAAGUUCUUUAUGACAGAACCGGUUUAAUUA